rnacentral:misc_RNA from 1 species
GAGAAGGCAAAGGACGCUGGCAUUGUUGGAAUUUUGGUUGGUACUCUUGGUUUAGCUGGUUACCUUCAUAUCAUUCAUCAGAUGAAAGAGCUGAUCACUGGAGCUGGGAAGAAGGCUUAUACACUUGUAAUGGGAAAACCCAAUCCUGCAAAACUUGCCAACUUCCCGGAGUGUGGUGUAUUCAUAUAUGUUUCUUGCGCCCAAAC